AAAAAAGGUAAGCUACUAAGAGCGAAUGGUGGAUGCCUUGACUGGUAAAGGCGAUGAAGGACGUACUAGACUGCGAUAAGCUACGGGGAGCUGUCAAGAAGCUUUGAUCCGUAGAUUUCCGAAUGGGGCAACCCAAUGUAUAGAGAUAUACAUUACCUAUAUAGGAGCGAACGAGGGGAAUUGAAACAUCUUAGUACCCUCAGGAAAAGAAAUCAAUAGAGAUUGCGUCAGUAGCGGCGAGCGAAAGCGCAAGAGGGCAAACCCAGUGCUUGCACUGGGGGUUGUAGGACUGCAAUGUGCAAGAGGUAAGUUUAGCAGAACAUUCUGGAAAGUAUAGCCAUAGAGGGUGAUAGUCCCGUAUGCGAAAAACAAACCUUAGCUAGCAGUAUCCUGAGUAGGGCGGGACACGAGGAAUCCUGUCUGAAUCCGGGUCGACCACGAUCCAACCCUAAAUACUAAUACCAGAUCGAUAGUGCACAAGUACCGUGAGGGAAAGGUGAAAAGAACUGAGGUGAUCAGAGUGAAAUAGAACCUGAAACCAUUUGCUUACAAUCAUUCAGAGCCCUAUGUAGCAAUACAGGGUGAUGGACUGCCUUUUGCAUAAUGAGCCUGCGAGUUGUGGUGUCUGGCAAGGUUAAGCAAACGCGAAGCCGUAGCGAAAGCGAGUCUGAAUAGGGCGCUUAGUCAGAUGCUGCAGACCCGAAACGAAGUGAUCUAUCCAUGAGCAAGUUGAAGCUAGUGUAAGAACUAGUGGAGGACUGAACCCAUAGGCGUUGAAAAGCCCCGGGAUGACUUGUGGAUAGGGGUGAAAGGCCAAUCAAACUUCGUGAUAGCUGGUUCUCUCCGAAAUAUAUUUAGGUAUAGCGUUGUGUCGUAAUAUAAGGGGGUAGAGCACUGAAUGGGCUAGGGCAUACACCAAUGUACCAAACCCUAUCAAACUCCGAAUACCUUAUAUGUAAUCACAGCAGUCAGGCGGCGAGUGAUAAAAUCCGUCGUCAAGAGGGAAACAACCCAGACUACCAGCUAAGGUCCCUAAAUCUUACUUAAGUGGAAAACGAUGUGAAGUUACUUAAACAACCAGGAGGUUGGCUUAGAAGCAGCCAUCCUUUAAAGAAAGCGUAAUAGCUCACUGGUCUAGUGAUUUUGCGCGGAAAAUAUAACGGGGCUAAAGUAAGUACCGAAGCUGUAGACUUGCGCACAACUUAGAUUAUUUAAGUUUAGAAUAUGAGAAACUAAGUUAUAUUUUUACUGAUUUUUAUAGAGUAAAGAUAGAAAUAAAACUUAGUAAAAUCAGUAAAAAUAUUCUUAGGCUAAAGUUAAGUAGUUUAAGUUGUGUGCAAGUGGUAGGAGAGCGUUCUAUUUGCGUCGAAGGUAUACCGGUAAGGAGUGCUGGAGCGAAUAGAAGUGAGCAUGCAGGCAUGAGUAGCGAUAAUUAAUGUGAGAAUCAUUAACGCCGUAAACCCAAGGUUUCCUACGCGAUGCUCGUCAUCGUAGGGUUAGUCGGGUCCUAAGUCGAGUCCGAAAGGGGUAGACGAUGGCAAAUUGGUUAAUAUUCCAAUACCAACAUUAGUGUGCGAUGGAAGGACGCUUAGGGCUAAGGGGGCUAGCGGAUGGAAGUGCUAGUCUAAGGUCGUAGGAGGUUAUACAGGCAAAUCCGUAUAACAAUACUCCGAGAACUGAAAGGCUUUUUGAAGUCUUCGGAUGGAUAGAAGAACCCCUGAUGCCGUCGAGCCAAGAAAAGUUUCUAAGUUUAGCUAAUGUUGCCCGUACCGUAAACCGACACAGGUGGGUGGGAUGAGUAUUCUAAGGCGCGUGGAAGAACUCUCUUUAAGGAACUCUGCAAAAUAGCACCGUAUCUUCGGUAUAAGGUGUGGUUAGCUUCGUACUAGGAUUUACUCCGAAAGCGAAGAAACUUACAACAAAGAGUCCCUCCCGACUGUUUACCAAAAACACAGCACUCUGCUAACUCGUAAGAGGAUGUAUAGGGUGUGACGCCUGCCCGGUGCUCGAAGGUUAAUUGAUGGGGUUAGCAUUAGCGAAGCUCUUGAUCGAAGCCCGAGUAAACGGCGGCCGUAACUAUAACGGUCCUAAGGUAGCGAAAUUCCUUGUCGGUUAAAUACCGACCUGCAUGAAUGGCGUAACGAGAUGGGAGCUGUCUCAAAGAGGGAUCCAGUGAAAUUGUAGUGGAGGUGAAAAUUCCUCCUACCCGCGGCAAGACGGAAAGACCCCGUGGACCUUUACUACAGCUUGACACUGCUACUUGGAUAAGAAUGUGCAGGAUAGGUGGGAGGCUUUGAGUAUAUGACGCCAGUUGUAUAUGAGCCAUUGUUGAGAUACCACUCUUUCUUAUUUGGGUAGCUAACCAGCUUGAGUUAUCCUCAAGUGGGACAAUGUCUGGUGGGUAGUUUGACUGGGGCGGUCGCCUCCCAAAUAAUAACGGAGGCUUACAAAGGUUGGCU
rnacentral:rRNA from 1 species